AAAAGGGGACGAAGUAAGAUGAACCUCAAAAGCUUAUGUAAGUGAAAGAAGCCAGACACAAAGGGCCACAUAUUAUAUGAUUCCAUUUAUAUGAAACAUC